GACGAACCGUGCGAACGUUGUUCGGAAUCACUGGGCUUAAAGGGCGCGUAGGCGGCUUGCCAAGUCAGUGGUGAAAUCCCACAGCUUAACUGUGGAAGUGCCUUUGAUACUGGCGAGCUCGAGGGAGGUAGGGGUAUGUGGAACUUCUGGUGGAGCGGUGAAAUGCGUUGAUAUCAGAAGGAACGCCGGUGGCGAAAGCGACGUACUGGACCUCUUCUGACGCCGAGGCGCGAAAGCUAGGGGAGCAAACGGG
rnacentral:rRNA from 1 species